CCUACGGGUGGCUGCAGUGGGGAAUAUUGGACAAUGGGGGAAACCCUGAUCCAGCGACGCCGCGUGAGUGAAGAAGUAUUUCGGUAUGUAAAGCUCUAUCAGCAGGGAAGAAAAUGACGGUACCUGACUAAGAAGCCCCGGCUAACUACGUGCCAGCAGCCGCGGUAAUACGUAGGGGGCAAGCGUUAUCCGGAUUUACUGGGUGUAAAGGGAGCGUAGACGGCACUGCAAGUCUGGAGUGAAAGCCCGGGGCUCAACCCCGGGACUGCUUUGGAAACUGUGGUGCUAGAGUGCAGGAGAGGUAAGUGGAAUUCCUAGUGUAGCGGUGAAAUGCGUAGAUAUUAGGAGGAACACCAGUGGCGAAGGCGGCUUACUGGACUGUAACUGACGUUGAGGCUCGAAAGCGUGGGGAGCAAACAGGAUUAGAUACCCUAGUAGUC
rnacentral:rRNA from 1 species